GUAAUAGUAGCUCAAACUGAGAGCGCCGGUCUUGUAAGCCGGAGGCCGGAGGUUAAAACCCUCCCUCUUACU